UACGUAGGGUGCGAGCGUUGUCCGGAAUUAUUGGGCGUAAAGAGCUCGUAGGCGGCUUGUCGCGUCGACUGUGAAAACCCGAGGCUCAACUUCGGGCUUGCAGUCGAUACGGGCAGGCUAGAGUUCGGUAGGGGAGACUGGAAUUCCUGGUGUAGCGGUGAAAUGCGCAGAUAUCAGGAAGAACACCCGUGGCGAAGGCGGUUCUCUGGGACGGUACUGACGCUGAGACGCGAAAGCGUGGGGAGCGAACAGG
rnacentral:rRNA from 1 species